rnacentral:lncRNA from 1 species
GCUCUUCCCCUUAUUGAUCAAAUCAUUGAUGCUACGGUGGGCUGCAAGCGUUUAAGCUUUUUGGAUGCUUACUCGGGAUAUCAUCAGAUCAAAAUGGCAGUUAAGGACCAGGAGAAGACGACUUUCAUCACUCCGUUUGGAGCCUUCUGUUAUGUGUCUAUGCCUUUUGGGCUUAAGAGUGCCCAGGCGACUUAUCAGCGAUGUGUGCAGAACUGUCUCCACAAUCAGAUUGGGCACAACGUUCAUGCUUAUGUGGAUGACACUGUGGUGAAGUCCAGAGAGAAGGAUACCUUGAUAGAUGAUCUGAAGGAAACCUUUGAUAAUCUCCGGGUCUACAAGAUGAUGCUUAACCUGGCAAAGUGCGUUUUUGGAGUGCCAGCUGGCAAGCUUUUGGGUUUUCUGGUCUCUAACAGGGGCAUUGAGGCUAACCCGGAGAAGAUUAAGGCAAUCACCUCUUUGGCUAAGCCGACAUGUAUCAAUGACGUUCAGCGUCUAGCGGGCCGUAUUGCUGCUUUAAGCCGGUUCAUAAGCCGGUUAGGUGAGAAGGCCAUACCACUAUACCAGAUGAUGAAGAAGACGAACAACUUCGUCUGGAGUGAUGCUGCUAACGCUGCCUUUGAAGAUUUGAAGAAGCAGUUAUUUGAGCCGUCGGUCCUUGCUGCCCCUAUUGAUAAAGAGCCCUUAUUGUUGUAUGUGGCUGCUAACGCACGUGCCGUCAGCGUGGCCAUUGUGGUGGAGCGCAGGGAGGUUGGCAAGGAGCAUCCGGUUCAAUGGCCGGUUUACUACAUCAGUGAGGUGCUUAUUGAGUCCAAGCAAAGGUAUCCACAUUGGCAGAAACUUGUUAUGGGGUGUUCAUGGCAAGCCGGAAGCUUAAGCAAUACUUCCAGGGUCACCCCAUCACUGUGGUCAGUUCUGCUCCUUUGGGCGAUAUCAUUCAAAACAGAGAAGCCACAGUACGAAUCGCCAAGUGGGCCAUUGAACUUGGGCCUCAUGGUAUAAAGUAUGUACCAUGUACUGCUAUUAAAUCUCAAGCACUGGUGGACUUCAUCAACAAUUGGACAAAGCUGCAGAUGCCUGAAGAAAAGCCGGAUAACACAUAUUGUACUAUUCAUUUUGAUGGAUCCAGACAAUUGGAAGGCUCGGGGGCUGGAGUUGUAUUAGCUUCCCCUCGAGGUGACAGAUUUUGUUAUGUGCUCCGGUUGAUGUUUCCCUGUACUAACAAUGCAGCUGAGUAUGAGACCUUGCUCCAUGGUCUUCGGAUGGCUAAGGAGAUGAACCUAAGCCGGGUAAGAUGCUUUGGCGACUCAGAUUUGGUGGCUCAACAAGUAUCAGGCAAGUGGGAUUCCAAGGAUCCUCUCAUGGCGGCUUAUCGCCGUGAAGUUGAUGCAAUUGCUGGACACUUCAAAGGUUACCAGGUGGAACACAUUGAUCGCAGAAAGAACGAGGCAGCCGAUGCUUUAAGCCGGCUGGGGUCUCAGUGUAAGCCGGUGCCACCUAACACUUUCUUAGAUGUUUUGCAUAAUCCUUUUGUCAAGUUGCCUACAGAGGAAGACUUGGCUGUUCCUGACCCGGAAGCACAACUGGUGGUGGCUCUUCAUGUUAUCCCAGAUUGGACAGUGCCAUAUUUGGCUUACAUGACCCGGGGCGAAUUGCCUGAGGAUGAAACCUUGGCUAGGCAGAUAACCCGGCGGUCUAAGUCAAUGACGAUUGUCAAUGGGGAGUUACAUCAUCGCAGUGUUACUGGGGCGUUUCAACGUUGUGUUUCUCCUGAGGAGGGUCAGGAAAUUCUUUGUGAGAUUCAUGAAGGUGAUUGUGGCCAUCAUGCCGGGUCAAAAUCCCUUGUGGCCAAGGCUUUUCGUCAUGGAUUUUAUUAGCUGAUGGCUCAUGCUAACGCGGAAGAUUUGGUCAGUAAAUGUGACGAUUGUCAGAAGUUCUCACGACGGGCUCAUGUGCCGGCUCAAAAUUUGAGGAUGAUUCGAAUUACUUGGCCGUUCGCAGUCUGGGGGCUUGAUAUGGUUGGGCCUUUCAAAAGGUCCAAAGAUAAAAAGACACACCUUCUGGUGGCGGUUGAUAAGUUCACGAAGUGGGUUGAGGCAGAGCCAGUCAGUAAGUGUGAUGCAGCCACAGCGGUUCAAUUCAUGAAGAAGGUGAUCUUUUGUUUUGGUUUUCCACACAGCAUCAUAACUGACAAUGGUACUAAUCUGUCCAAGGGUGCCAUGGAACAGUUCUGUCAACAUGAGCAUAUCCGGCUCGAUGUUUCAUCAGUUGCUCACUCUCAAUCCAAUGGUCAAGCUAAAACAGCCAAUCAAGAGAUCUUGAAAGGCAUAAAACCCUGGCUCAUGGUCCAUUUACAGCGGACACUGGGUUGUUGGGUGGAGGAGUUGCCUUCUGUGAUCUGGAGCAUCAAUACUACACCUAACAGAUCUAUGGGUUAUACGCCUUUCUUCACGGUUUACGGAGCAGAGGCGGUUCUACCUAGUGACAUCCGUCAUGACUCGCCCCGAGUGGCGGCUUAUGUUGAAGCUGAUAAUGAACAAGCUCGUGGGAUGCACUUGACCUAUUGGAUGAGAAGCAUGACUUAGCAGCUGCCCACUCGGCGAUUUACCAGCAGGACCUGCGCCGUUAUCACAGCCGCCGGGUUAAGUCCAGAACCUUUCAAGAAGGUGACUUGGUGCUCCGGCUCAUCCAGGAUCAGUCCGAUAUGCACAAGCUAUCCCCACCUUGGGAAGGACCCUUUGUGGUCAGCAAGAACCUGAACAACGGGUCAUACUACCUUAUCGAUGUUCGAGAGCACAAAGACUCACGUAAGUCGGAGAAGGAGACCCGCCGGCCAUGGAACAUUGCUCAUCUUCGGCCUUACUACACUUGAGCCACCGGCUCUCAUGAUGUACAUAUUAUGAAAUGUAUAUAUUAUGAUAAGUAAUAAAGCAGGUCCUCUGUCCUUUUCAUCCUCAAUGAUCAUAUGUUCUUAUUAUUUUAAACAUAAACGACCAGUUGGGGUCUGAUCGUAUUCGAAUCCAGUUUAACUCUCUUGGUCCGGCUCAUGAUCGUAUUCGAAUCUAGCUGUUACACCUCAUGGUCACUAGGGGGCUUCCUGUUCAAACAUAGGUCGUAUUCGAACCAAAGAGAACAUAGCUGUCCAUACCCUUUUGAUCGGCACACUGCCAAACUCACUAGGGGGCUUCUUGAUCGUAUCUGAAUCAUAGCUCAACCCCUUUUGGCUCCGACGUUGAUCGUAUUCGAAUCAGCGUCGUUAAAAAACUCUCAAGGUCAUUUCGGGGCUUCCUGUUCAAACAUAGGUCGUAUUUGAACCAAAGAGAACAUAGCUGUCGGUACCCUCUUGAUCGGCGCACCGCAAAGCCACUGGGGGCUACAUGGUCGUAUUCGAAUCCUAGCUUAACCCAUUUGGAACGGUUUACUGAUCGUAUUCGAAUCAGAAGCCUCAAAAUUUUGUUUAUUUUGAUGUUUUUUGCAAACAGUUUCUUUUUGAGUUUUCUUCUUGAGACUUCUUUUUGAUCCUAUUCGAAGCUUCUAAUGAGUGGCUUCUAUUUAACCCGGCUUGGCCUUAGUCAAUAAGUCGCCAGCAUAUAACAAUAAUCAUAUGCGUGGAAGUACCAGCUUCUACAAGAUUGGGUUCUCACCCUUACUGUUUGGGUCAUAUAAACCGGCAGUAUAAAUCAAAGGAUCACAGGUAUGAUAUUAUGGUUAUAUUUAAAAGCUAUAAAUGAUAACCGAUUUAUCUAUGACUCUUUUGCAUAUUCCGGGUUCUAUGUAAGAUAUAUGACCCGCCCUGCGGUAAACCGCCAAGGGUCUUGUGAUUUAUUUCUGUAUGCAGGACAGUGUAAAAGUUUUCUUACGCAUAAGGAAAACAGAUGAUAAGCAUAAUAUGGAUGAAUAUAAGAUGGCGGCUUAACAAUAUUGAGCACCAAACACGUGCACGAAGGCACGGCAAAACCACGUUAUGUCUACUCUAUUACAUGACUCCCCGAGUCCAAAUGAUUAACAUUGUUUUCCAGCAAAGCAUAAAUAUGAGCCGCCCGACGGAUCAAUUGCGUGGUUGGCCUGAAGCUUCCGGAUCAUCCCUUUCCACUCCUCCUUCAUGUUCCCUGUCCUGGAAGGUUGAUGAUGACCAGCCAAUGCCAUUCAAAGCUUCGAAUUUAGCUUCAUCAUCAAUUAAUCCGGCCGGGUCAACUUCAGGGGCAAAGGUAUGCUUACGAAUUGGAGGGAUCAGGCUGACCACUUCAUAAUGCGGCGUUGGAAUCCUCCGGUUUUCAGCAUCAUAGCCCGGAUGAUACUUGGUAAGAUCUGUGUCAUUAGCAAUCAAGGUGGCCACAGGGCGUAUUUCCUUAACACAAGUGGUGAAGUCCUCCUGUCCAAACGGUGUGCCGUCCUCUUUUAGGCUUGGAUACCCGAUGGCGAUGUCGGCCGGGUCUAGCUCCGGUAGCCACGCCUUGGCCCGGCUUAAUGUAGUUACGGCUCCGGCUCUCGCAGAAGAUCGCCUUAGUUCAUUAAACCGCUGAGGUAGCACAGCAAGCCGCUUUAAUACAUCUGACAGGAGGGUGGGAACUUCAUUUGAUAGGGCCACUGCGGCUAAGGCACGCUGAGACCCGGUGUAGAGUUGCUCCACCAGCGUAUAAACCGCCUUUAGCUUUAUCAGCAUGCUCUGGUUAAGAUUUGAGCUCCUGGGGCCUGCAUUAUAAUGUCAGGUGAGUGGAUGACAAUUGAUAUGCUUCUUAGAAAGAUUCACGUAUCUAAACACUUGCAGGGUGACUUACCAAAGAUUGCUGAGACCAUCUAAGAUAUAUGGCGUUUUAUACCGGAUAAUUCGGCGGUCGCUUUUGCAAGAGCCGCCUCUACCUUUUCAGCCCGGUUGAUCAAGGCGAUCUUUUCAUCAGCCCAGGCCUUUUUCUCCACUUCAAAGCCCUUUUUCAGUUUUUCUUGUUCAGAUACACUUAACUCGAAUUUAGAGUUGGCUUUCUGGGUCUCAAUCUCCUGUGCUUCCAGGCGAUUCUUCAAGUCAGAAAUUUCUGAUUCAAAUUGACUAGUGGUGGCCUUUACAAAUAUUGGGUCAAAAGGUCAGGAUUAUCAUGCUGUAAUAUUAAGUCCCGAGUCUUUUGCAAGCAAUAACACUUGGCACUUGGGGGCUAAUGUAUUCUGAAGAAUUAGUUUAAAGAGGCGGUUCAUGACAGUAAGUCCCAAUCGCUUUGCAAGCAAGAGUAUUUGGCACUUGGGGGGCUAAUGCAUAUUGCUGUUAAAGCCUUUUUAAAUAGUUUGUUCUGUGCAACCAUAUGAAGAACCGGUUCAAUCAUACUGAUUAAACCGCCCCUUGGGGACUACGGAGUAAGCCGGAGUUCUUCUGUGUUUUAGUUCAACUAUGUUACUAAUAUUGCUAAGUUUAUUUCUAAAGUCUACAGCAUAUUCAUCAUAAGCAAUAGACUUGGGGGUUGGCACGGUAAGGAUAAAUGAAUAUGGAGAAAAGGUUGUACCUCAAACUUCUGAUACAUUUGCUUCACCAUAUCAUUUCGGUGUCACGACUGUUGUGCACUUGGCUCAUAUAGCCAGAAAAGACUUUGCCAAUGCUCAUGUGAGUAUAAUCAGUGACGUCAAAUUUAACUCGGCGCCAUUCCAGAAGUUCCUCCUUGGCAGAACACUUGGCCAACACGGUUGGUCUCCCCGGUUCAACAAAGCCGGUCUUGGUGAUUUCGAUAUCAGCAUCUUGAGGAUCAUCCGUCCUGGCAGGGCUAGGGAUUUCCGGGUUUUCAGAACCAUCGAUGGCUUGCUCGACAGGCGGGUCAGCAGUGGGCGUUGGUAUAUCAUGAGCUGGCUCAUGUGGCGGCUCAUGAGUGGAGGUUUCAGGGGCGGCCGUUCCAAGUUCCGGCUCACUGAAGAUUGGCUCUUCGUCCGGCUUGUUCUUCUUCGCCCUCUUGCUGGGCUUUGCUUGUCCACUGCAUGAAAUCAAAAGGUCAGUACAAGUGUAGCAAAUUGAAGUGAAUACAAGAUAAGCAGGUUAUCAUUACUUUGGAGCGGUUUUAAAAGCCGGCAAAUUGGAUUGCAUGGAUUCGCCGGGGGAAGGUGAAGUUUCCUGAUAAUUUGAGUCAGAAGAAUUGAGUGGUUGACGAGUGAGACCCGCCAAAGGAUAAAAGGGAUAUAAGUCGGAGGUGACCUCGUUCCGACGCUUUCUUGGUGUAUUGGGCAAGCCGGAGGAGAGUUCCGCAUCUUUGUUGGUCCGGAUCUGCCUCCGGCUCUCAUGAAUCUGUCGCUUGAAAAGAAAUUGAGGAUCUUGGUAAGCUAAAGGAUGUGAAAAUCUUACUUUUCGGGUUACUCUUCGGACUUUCUGUCUUGGCAAAGGCUCAGAGUCGGAGGAAAUGAUAGUUACCUCUUCAACCGCUGCAUGACUCGCUCAUGUAUCCUCCUGAGGAUAAUCAGUGUCAAUAAGAUAGUUAAAAAAGGGCCUAGAGAAUCAAGAGCUACCUCUGAUUCAGAUGUUUCCUCUAGCCGAAGCAUGUCUAAGGCGCUCGGUUUGUUUCCUUUCUUCCUGGCGGCGGCUCUCCUGGCGGCUUUCUUAGCUUUUCUGGCCUUCUUUGCAGCCUCAUGAUCAUAGUUGGCUUUCCAAAACUCGUCAGUGGCCUGUGAAUUUCAACAAGAGUUUUGAGUAAAGGUAAAACCUCAAAGGUGAGAGUAUAAAAUAAAAAUGCUUAAGUUACUAGCUUACCGCUGGAGCCGGGUUAGCUUUGCACAAAGGGCUCAAACAUACUUUGCCACAGUCUGCCAGGCUCUCAUUCAGGAGUGAUUUUGUCCUAUCAUCAAUGACGUCAUCAGGUAAAUCAUCAGGGUUGUGCCGCAGAGGAUCAUUCUUCUGGCAUGUGUAGUCGCACAUCAAACCAGGGCGGCGGCUCAAUGGAAUAACCCGCCAGGCAAGCCAAACCCGGACCAAAUCAAUGCCAUUCAAGCCAUUCCCCAGAAGAGCCUUGACUUUGCUCAUGGUGGGGGCAAGUUUCUGGCGUUCAGCAGCUGACAGCUUUUCUGGUAGAGGAUGAGUAGACUCGAGGCGCAGGGCGCGAAAGCCGGGCAGAGGGUUUUCACCAGCCGGAGAAGUAUCUUGACAAUAGAACCAUGUCUGGUUCCAGUCUUUGGGGUGACUCGGUGGAUCGGCAUACGGAAAAAUGCAGUCUCUCCUUCCCUGGAUUGAGAUCCCACCAAGCUCCAAGCUAGGCCCGUUGGCACGUUCAUUCUGACGGUUCAAAUAAAAUAAUUCCUUGAAGAGCAGCAAGUUAGGUUCUUCUCCAAGGUACACCUCACAGAACACUUGGAAAUUGCAAAUGUUAGAUACGGAGUUGGGACCGAUAUCUUGAGGUCGGAGGUCGAAAAAGUGCAGGACAUCUCUGAAAAACUUUGAGCCGGGUGGAGAAAAGCCCGGUUCAUGUGAUCAGUAAAGAUGAUGACUUCCCCCUCUUUGGGUUGAGGUUUUUCCUCUGUUGGAUCAGGAGCACGAUAGGACAUGACUUCCUUCUUUGGCAGAUAGCCAGUCUUCACAAAAUCGGCAAGGGUGUUUUCUGUGACGAUGGAUUUGACCCAAUUGCAUGUAACGGGUGAUUUGGGCGCUUUCGGCGGCAUUAUAAAGAUGGAAGCCUACGACAAAAUAAAAAUUUCCGGUUCAAAUUUAGGCCGGAGAGAAAUACUUCAAAUCAUAUUCAAGAUGGCGACUUAUAAAAGGGGCCUAAUGGUAUAUGGCUAAUUAUGUCAGAUUAUUUAAGCCGCCAUGAGCAGUUAAGUUAUUUAAGCCACCAUGUGUGGUUGAACUUAGCUAUUGAGCAUUUCAAAUUAAAGCCGGUGGUAUGAGCCGCCAUGGCUAGGUGGAUCUAUCAAGAUACAGGCAUCGACUAAGUGUGCAAAAACAGGUUUCACAGAUUGCAAUUAUUAUUUUGGAUCAACGGAUGCUCAGAAAAGGAAAAAUAUUCUAGACCUAACAAACCAGUACAGAGGAGUUCAUAAGUUCUAAAGAGGCCUUUAUACAAGAAAAGGGGAUCUACUAGCGUCUGAAAUGGAUGCGAAACAACUACCGCGUGAGUUUAGUACUUCUUUUAGAUCAAAAGAGGACGCAAUGGAGAAACCAUGGAGAAUCCGUGAUGAACAGCGAAGAACACACAGGAACUCGCAAACCCUAAUGCGGAUCUGAGGUGCGGGAAGGCAAAGACUUACAGCUGCAGAUCUACUGCGGAGGGUCGUCGCCGUUUUCUGGACUGAUUCAGGUUGAUGCAGUGGCCGAGGUCGACGAAGACGGGGUGCUCUGCGGCGGCGGCGGAGCUCGAGUGGCAGUAGGGUUGCGAAAGGAAGAAGACGAGGAAAGGGGAGAAUGAGGAAAUACCUGGUCAUACCUUUUUAUAAGGGAAGACUGAUAAGUGGGCGCGAAAAACGAGGAGGCCGAAAAAAUGAUUAUCCAACUACAAGGACGCCUCGAUUCUCGGGAUGGUCAUUAAGACAAGGAUCCGUUGAGAUACGUUGGGCGAAAACAUGCAUUAAUGGCAGAUGACAUCAUGGCGGGUCACAACAAAUCCGAAGGAUGACAUCAUGGCGGGUUACAAAAAUUUUAUACAAGAGAAUUGCACAAGGUUUUGCUUAAGUAUUGAAGAUUGACAUCAACCAGUUCAAAUCAAUCUGGGGCCUAAUGUUGGGGAUAUAAUUAUUAGGUAUGACCCGCCCAGGAGGGGCCGGGUUAUACCAACGAAGACUCUCGAAGCCCAAGACCAAGCUUGAAGAUGGCGGUUCAGUUAAGGGCCUGAAGCCCAAGGGCGAUUCAAGGCCCGUAGUAAUAAACCGCCAUAAUGGUAUGACUUGUAUUAUAAGGCAAGAUUAACUAGUCACCGAGCCGGACACUGUUUAUGAGCCGGCCGGGACUCGGUAGGCCGCCGGGCGUCAACCCGUGUAUAUAAGGGCACGACCCAGCGGCGGCUUGGGGCAAGUAACAUCAAAUCGAGAGCUAGGUCAGGCGGAUUCGCUCCCUGGUUAUCGAGACAUACAUAAUCCCACUCAAAGCUGGAUCGUAGGCUUUUACCUUCACCGCAAGGGGCCGAACCAGUAUAAACCUCACGUCCUUUGUCCCGAUUAACCCCUUCUUGCUUCCUAGUUGCAAUGGCUCCACGACUAAGUCCUUUCACUAGGACAUCUGCCGUGACAAUUCCACGACAGUUUUGAUUUAGUAAUAAUACUAAACCAUUUUCGUUGCUUCUAAAAUUAUUUGUGGACGCAAUAUGGACUAACCCAAAGCCCCACAAUAUUUUUCAGAAUGAUUAGAGUUAUAAAGGUGUUUAUUGGAAUUUAUAACUCCAACUCAAUUAUAUUAUGAUUUAAUUCAAAGACCAUAAUGCCUUGGAAAAAUGUGCUACACCUCUCGUAAGGUUGUAACCUUUUUCCAUAAAUAAUGGACUUUUUUAAGGGCAUUUUGGGUUCACUGACAAUGUUUUAUUUUGAUCGUAGUUGAAUUUUAUUUGGUGCUAGGGUUUGAACAUCCCCAUUUCAAAUUCAUUUGAAUUUUACACAUGAUGCAUGCAUGAUUAUGCAACUAUUUACAAUCAAUUUCUAGGGUUGUGACAAUUGAGGUGCUUGCAUGGCAACCUUCUGAUAUCCCCGACGUUCCCAUGGAGGAGAUUGAGUGCCACCUUGACGUCUGCCCUAAUGCGAAAACUAUCAAGAAGAAGGUCAGGAAGCAGGCUUUGGAGCGGUAAGAGUUCAUUGCCCAAGAAAUCAAAAAACUAGAUGCGGCAGGCUUGGUAACAAGAGUGCUACACCCAACUUGGUUGGCAAAUCCCAUGGUCAUUCGCAAGGCAAAUGGGAAGUGGCGGCUUUGUAUUAACUUCAUCGACAUAAACAAAGCAUGCCCAAAGGAACUCUUCCCUUUGCCGCGGGUUGAUCAGAUUGUGGACUCGAUCACCGCUCUCUUUUCUUGAUGCCUACUCUGGUUAUCACCUGAUCUUCAUGGCCAAGGAAGAUGAGGAGAAGAUGGCAUUCAUUACUCCAUGUGGUACGUACUAUUUUGUACACAUGACUUUUGGAUUAAAGAGUGCCGGAGCGACAUUUGGAAGGGCUGUGCAAAUUGGUUUUGGUUCUCAGCUACACAGAAAUGCAGAAGCCUAUAUGGAUGAUAUAGUGGUCAAAACCAAGCACAAGGAUUCACUGAUCCAAGCACAAAAUCAACUUGAAGCUCAACCCUAAGAAGUGUGUGUUUGGCAUUCCGUCCGGAAAGCUUCUCGGGUUCUUUGUAUCUCAGCACGGAGUCGAAGCCAACUCCGACAAGAUCAAGGUGAUUGAGUAGCAGCUCUAAGCAGGUUCAUCUCCAAGUGAGCUGAGUGUGCCUUGCCAUUUUUCAAAAAAUCUUGAAAAAAGGCAUGUCCAAUGCAAUGGACCCCUAAAGCAGAGGCUACGCUCCAAGACUUGAACGAGUACCUCUCCUCUCCACCAGUACUAGUUGCGCCAAUACCACGAGAACUGUCAUGGAUUUGUCACACCAGAUGUCCUAAUGAAAGGACUUAGGUGUGGAGACAUCGCAACUAGGUUAGCUUAAAGGGGUUGAACAGGACAAAGGACACAAGGAGUUUACCCAGGUUCGGCCCCUCUCAAGGAGGUAAAAGCCUACUUCCUGCUUCUAGUUGUAUUGCUAGAGUUUCGAGUAUAAGGGAGCGAAUACACUUGACCUAGUUCUCGAUUGGUUGUUUCUUGAGUUAACCCGCCGCCAGGUCACACCUUUAUAUACACAGGUUAGGACCUGGCAGCUUAUAGAAUCCCAGCCGGCUUACUCAACGUGACCGGCUCGGUUUCUAACAACUCAGGCCUUAUGGAUCAAGUCUUCCUUCGGCGGUUCACAGGCCCGGGUCUUGGGCCUUCAUCCGGCCUGCUUCCAUGAUCUAUCGUCUUCGUGUUUCUUCUUGGGCCUCCCUGGACCUUUUUCGUGAUAAGCCUCCUACGGUAUAACCCGGCCCCUCCUGGGCGGGUCAUACCUCGGGGCUAUAUCGUCAACAUUAGGCCCCAGGUUAUUUGAACUUGUUCAUAUCAAUCUUCACAUCUGGCCUUAUUAGAAAUGCACCCGCGCCGAAUCUUCAAUAGGACAAUGUAGGCCGCCAUGACGUCACAUAAACAGAAUCAUCAUAAAAUCGCCAUGACGUCACCUGAAUUAAUUUUCGCACAAGGCCUAGAAUAUCUCAACAGAUCCUUAUCUUAGUAGACUUUUCGAAAAUCGAGGCGUCCAUGUUGUUAACAUAAUCAUUUUGCUUCCUUGGUUUUCACGCAAGCCCUCCUUUCACUUCCUUAUAAAUAGGGACAGGAGGCCCUUCUUUUUACUUUUUACCCCUGCCCUUGCAUCUUCUUCUUCCUCCUCGCGACUCCGCUGCGACCGAACACCGCCACCGCCGUCCCUCUUCAUCGACAUCAACUCCGGCCGCUGCAUCAACCUGAAUGGACCAGAAAAUUGCGGCGACCCUCCGCUGUUCAUCAGCAUCAGUGAGUACUUGUCUCCGCUCAUACCAAAUCUGCAUUAGGGUUUCGCCGUUCGUCGGUGUUCUUCACCGUUCAUUGAAGUUUCUCUCUAGAACGCUCAGUUUGAUCUGAAAACAGUACUGAUGCUGUGAGGAAAUAGUCUAGCACCAUCUUCAAACUGUAGACAUACCUCCUCUGUCCGAGAUUAAAUCUCAGUUCGCAAAAAAAAUUCCACUGCCGCAGCUUUAGGUUUAAGAAUUAUUUCCAUUUUCCUGACUGCUGUAGAUCCAGAAUCAUAAGCAAGAUUUGUAAAACCUGUUUAUCCAACACUUACUGAAAUUUUACUCCCCUUCAAAUCUGUAGAUAACCGACCCAUCACUGCCAUGGGGGCGGCUUAAUUGAAAUUUUGUAACCCGCCAAAUGCCUACCGGCUUAUUUCCGAACCUUUUAAACCGUCAGUACUCCUUUAAAGCUUUCUACUAUGAAUUUUAACCCGCUAAUAUUUCCUUAGGCCUUCCGUAACAAAAAAUGACUAAAACCGUCACCUCAUGUGAUUGGGUUGCUUCCACUGUGACGAACAAGCUCUGAACGGAUAUGUUCAAGUGGGCGUUUUGUCAGCCAAAGAGGUUAUCCGUUGGCGAGCUCCAGGGGCUGAAACCAGACCCGAACCCAAGGAAGGCGAAGUCAUAGUGUUCCCUGAUCAUAUGAGCCGGGGUUUCUCUCCACCCGACUCAAAGUUCUUUCGUGACGUCCUGAAAUUUUAUCAACUUCAUCCGCAAGAUAUGAGGCCCAAUUCAGUCUCCAACAUUUGCAACUUCCAAGUCUUUUGUGAAGUGUAUCUUCAGGAGGAACCCAUGGUUGAUUUCAUCAGAGAAUUUUAUUAUUUAAACCGCUAAACAGAAAUGACCGAUGGACCCAAUCUUAAACUCGGCAGGAUAUCUAUCCAAACACAAAAAGAUGUUGUCUUUCCUACGGCCACGAUUCCCUGUCAUCCCAAAGACUGGAAUCAGACUUGGUUCCACUGCCAAGACACCUCUCCGGCGAGUGAGAACCCUCUGUCGGGUUUCCAUGACCACCGGCUUAAUCCAAGACAUCCACUUCCGGAUCGAAUCAGCGCCGCUGAACGGGCCAAAUACACAUCCGCCUUUAGCAAAAUAAGAGCCUUAAUGGCCAACGGCUUAAGUCGCGUCGAUUUGGUCCGAUGUUGGGUUGCCUCGAGGGUCAUGCCACUGAGCCUCUGCCCCGGCUUAAUGUGUGAGAACACAGGUAACACCAAAGAUCCACAACGUCACUGCCAAAUUCGUCUAAGUGACAAGGAGAUCAAUGAAAUGACGAAAAUGAUGCUCAAUGAGAGCUUAGCAACUUGCAGCAAGACGGGGCUGAACCCUUGCACUCUCAACCUGACUCCGGCUGUAAGUAUUUCAAGCUUCAUUAUUAUCUUAUUCUUCUCAUAUAUUGUCUUCUCACUAUUACUUGCUUUCCUCAGGCCGAUGAUCCUUUCUAGAAUAAAAAUUUAGGAUAAGCCGGCCAAGAAGGUCAUAACAAAGAAUAAAGCUCCGAAAAAGCCUGCCAAGAAGAAGACAAAUGCAAUUGAUACAUUCACUCUGGACGAUGAGUCGGAGGUAGAACUUGACUCCCUUGGCUCCUUUUUCUACAUCUUAUUGACACUGAUUGCUAUCAGGAUGACGCGGAGGCCAGCCACGCAGAUGGUGAAGAGGUAACUAUCCUUUCCUAUGACUCAGAACCUCUGCCAAGACAGAAAGUUCGACAAGCAAGCCAGAAAGUAAGGUUUUUCUCACCCUUUAGCUUACUUGGAUCCCAACUUUAUUUUGAAGAAACAACAGCAUGAAGCUCGCUGCACGACCCGGAAUAGCAGGUGAGGGAAUCUUUCCUCUGGCUUACCUAACACACUGGUUCCUCAAAAGCGCCGAAAUGAGGUGCCGUAGAACUCAACCUUAUCUUUUCCAAAGGUGGGUCCCGUCAACCGCUUAACCCUUCCGACUCAAAUUAUCAGGGAACCUCUCAUUCCUCUUCUGGCGACUCAACCGGGACUCGGAUUCCCCUCUUCAAAGUCGCUCCUAGGUGAGAACAUUAGAUUUCUUUGCUUUCACACUUUUCCAACUAAUACAUUAACCUUUUUCUUGUGUCUUAUUUUCAGUGGCAUAGCCAAGCCCAGCAAAAAGCUGAAGGUAAACAAGCCGGUCGAAGACCCCAAGGCUGCUGAGCCGGAGACUCAAACCAUCUCUGAAACCUUUCAAAAAACUCCGGUGGCUGCUGCUGAUGACUUACCACCAGAGACUCAUGAGGUCACAGUGGAUCCAAUGUGUGUUGAUCCGCCUGGUACUAAACCGUCAAGUUCCACCAAGCCUGAUGAAGAAGAGGUUGAACAUGUUGUGGUCACCGGGACUGGUUAUACAGAGCCAGGCAACCCCACCAUGUUAUCAAAACACAGUGCUAAGAAAGAAUUCUCAGCUGCUAAAAAAGCAAAUGGAAAAUAGACUUGGAGAGCUAGGAACUGGUACGCGUUGGUGCUAUACAAACGGUUUUUAACCCCUUUCCACGACGGUGUUCGGAACCGUCGCUAAGUGAGGGACGGCGAUAGGGGGGUCCUUCCCACACGACCCAGAAACCGUUGGGGAUAUUCCCUCCUUGCACACACGCUCGGCAAAAUGAGGUCGUGUGCGAACAGCGAGCACUCAAAUACGGAAAUACGUACAGUAGAGCUAAAAAAUACAAUUAUAAAGGCGAAAUUGUUUCCAGUCGCAAGUACAUCCCACACAGUCAGUCCCCGCUAAAUGUUUCCGUUCGUAUGUACAUCCCACACAGUCGCUCCAAGGAAAACGUUUCCGUUCACAGGUACAUCACACAUAAUUUUCCCCGUUAAAUCGUUUGUGAUAACGUUGCCAUUGCACACGAUAUUAACAAUUUUAUCGUUUGCGUUACUGAAUGCAUCACACACGGUGGAUAGAAGAAACUGUGUGGCAAAGGCUAUCCAUCACACACAGUUUUUAUGUGGUAAACGUUUGCGCAAGGUGGCCUAACGCAAACAGUUUUCAAGAGGAUGUCGUGUGUGCAGUGGAGAUUGAUCGCACCCGUAGUGGAUCUUAGAAACGUUUCUGAUCUCCACGUCUAUCACAGACGUUUCUCUUUCGUAAACCGUGUGUAGUGUGAUCCCUAAUUAAUCCCUAAUUUAAAAAUCACAUGUUUUGAAUUUGAAAGUAGGCAAUCACUUAUUUCAUAUCCAACCAUGUUUAUUACAAAUAUAGGUUCAACCAUGAAUGCAUAAUUCGAUGCACAUGUACAUAUACUGAAGAACUACAGAAGCACCAAGUAAAGAAUGAUGAACCACAGUUGUACUAAAGACUGUAAAGAGAGAGGCGAAAGCCAUUCUGGUCGCUGGAGAAGGUGAAGCGGAAUGCCCAUAUUGUGCCCUCCUCCAUGCAUAAUGCACGCACGACUCUAAGCCAACCCCUUGUGAUGGCUGCCCGUCCAUCCUUCAAUGUCUUCAUUACGACUUCUCGAUGCUCAUUGUAGUCUGGAUGAAACACUUUAACCUUCAUUGCGUGUCCACAAUCAUGUACUUUGCGAGGUAAUCUUGAGUGAACUUCUUCAAGAACCACUGCGAACGGAAAAGAUUCAGACAUUGUUGUCUAACAACUCAUUAUGGGCAAUAAAAAGAGAAGGCUGCAGAGUUUGUAGUUACCAUCCUACAGCUCAUUGUUGUGUUGGAUAGAGCAUAAACAAAUAAUUUGCUUUCCACCAUUCGUAUCUUUUUGCUAAUAAUCCUUAUCAGUUUCCUCACUUGAUGCUUGUAAAUGAAUAUCUCAUUGCCCCAUACGCAAAAAGGGUCGGUGUGUGGAUCCUUGCCUAGGGCAUAUGUACCUACAAGCAACAAGUCAAUAUUAGAAGCUAACAAGUGUCCAGGCCUGGAUCUAUAUGCACUACAUUAUGGAACGACAAGGGGAGUACAAGCCGUGGGAUGAAGCUAACCUCGGCGGAAAAUGGUGGCCACUCCCGUUGUUGUCCUGCAUAAGUAGUGGAAAGGCAUGAUAAGUACAGCAACCUUAACAUCAAACAAAUAUAGCAAAUGUAAACAACAUCAUCUCCAAAUGAUAGCUUAAAUGUGUUGGUUUCAGCAUGCUGUUAAAGCAGAUAUAAAAUGGAAGGCAAUGUUACCGACAGCAGGCUUAACAGCCAUCAAAUAUUGCAAUUCAAAUUGGUAUUGUUGAAAAUGAAUAGAACGUAGGUAAUGCUUAAACAUCACACUGGAUAAAUGUGUAAAACUGAAAUAAAGGGCAUGUGUUAACUACACCAGGAAUAAUUGGAACCAAAUAUAGCCGUUCAAACUAGUAUUGAUAUAGUCGAGCAGCACAGCUCCGACUUGCAUAUAAUGGACAACACAUUGUGAAUGAUUGAAAUAAACAAUGCAUAAAUGACCAGUAUAACAACCAGAUAUAGCCAUUGAAAACUGGACAGAGUCUCACUGCAACCAACCUAACAAGCAAAUACAGAUAAAUAGGGCAUAUGCUUGAAAACUAGACAAAUGCUCACUGCAACCAACCUAACAAGCAGAUACAGAUAAACAAGGCAUCUGCUUGAUAACUGGACAAAUGCUAAAAAAAGCAACCUAAUAACCAAAUACAGAUAAACAAGGCAUCUGCUUGAUAACUGGACAAAUGCUCACUGCAACCAAACUAAGAACCAAAUACAUAUAAACAAGGCAUCUGCUCGAUAACUGGAAAAAUGCUCACUCCAACCAAUCUAACAACCAAAUACAGAUAAACAAGGCAUCUACUCACUAUAAACAACCAAAUAUAGCCAUUCGUGAAACUGAAGUGGACAAUUCAUACUUAAACAUCACAUAGCCCUAUUGAACAAUACAUUUUUGCAUAACUAAAAUAGUUAAACACGGCACAGUUAAAGCACCGCACGACAAAUGCUACCACAACAAAGGGUACGGGUUGGCAAGCUAGAAAAGGUAAGAUUUGCUGAUAGAAUGUUGCCUCACAUUUCAUGGACGGGAUCCUUCCAGUUGGAAGAGCAUAGACCCAUGGUGCGCUCUCUGAUGUCACAGAUGGGCUGUUUCACCUUGGAAGAACCUUCGUGGGUGCCCUCCUCAUGGUCGUGGUCGUGGUCGAUGAGAUCUCACUUGGGAAUUGAGGAUCCAAAGCCGCCGCCGUAGAACGUGUCCUUCAGAAAUGACAAAAUGGGCUCGAUGGCGUAUAAAGCUCGCAAAUUUGACCGCUUGGCAGAGGAGAUCAGCGGCAGGGCCGUCGAAGAGGUCGAUGGCGGUUGAACCAGAGGGGUUGGGGAUGGACCACUUAACCUAUGACAUGGCCCGCGUGAAGCCGUCGCUGUGGACAAGCUUGAUGUCGUAGCCAGCUUUCCCGAGAUACAGUAAUACGCUAGCCCGCUGACAUGAAGCCUUCGGCAUGGCAACGUAGUCAACGUCUUCGCUGGCUUCUGCGAUGACGUGUUGCUCCGGGAUCGAUAGGUCGGGGCAAACGGCGGCCACCUAGCCAAUGUCCGCCGGAGAGGCCAUCAUAAACCUCUUCUUGGCCGAAUGCUCGUCGGGCUCCCCGGGAUACGUGGUCGAGCUUAGGCUGCGACAUUCUGGAGCAGGGGAUGUGGAUCUGGCGGGGAGGGACACCGCAGGCCUCAUCUAAAAACUCAGGGGAGUGGGGCGACGGUAUGGGAAUCGUUGGGUAACCUACACUUUAUUAUCUAAGCUAGGAGGAACGGGCAGACUGGCAGGGUUGGCGGCGGCGCCGACGGCGGCCGCGAGCUAGGGUUCGAGGGGGGCAGGUAGGGUACUGUGGAGGGGGGUGUUUGAGGAUACGCCACGGCUACUGAAAAUUUUAGUAAUGGUGGGUGGAGAUGGUGGUGCAUGAGGGAGGGCGACGGUUCAAUGCCUCAGCUACUUCAAUUUUACUAUAAGGUCGAUGCUGGAGGAGUGUGGGCGACGGUUGAAGUACGGUGGCUACUAAAAUUUGGGUAAAGGAAUUGAUGUGGGGGGAGUGCCCAAGAUUGCGCACGGUCCAAUAACAAUAAGCGUGUAUGAUAAUAAGGAAAAGUGGCACGGAACCGCCGAUUUUUGCAACGCUCAAGGCGGGUAGUUUGUUUUUAUAUUUCUAGCCAGCUGGUCUAUCACACACGGUUCGUCCUAAUUUCCAAAUAAACUUACCCGCCUUUAGCUUGCCCAGGUGGUGGUUUUACAGCUCACUUGCAUCUCACACGGUUAAGCCAGUACCUCCACCCUUUGCUCGCGCUUGCGUGGUCAUGGUGAUUUUACAGCGCACUUGUAUCGCACAAGGUUGAGCCAGUACCUCCACCUUUGCUCGUGCUUGCGUAGGCGUGGUGAUGCACAGCGCACUUGUAUCGCACACAGUUAAGAUAUUAUACCCAUGUCCGUUGAGCGUCAUCAGAGUGUUUGCAGCAAAAAAUAAGGUUAGAGAGGGUCACAAGACAGCCAAACCAGCAUGUGGCCCAAAUAUAUAUGAGUGAAAAGGGUGGUCUGUGAUGUUCAAAAUUCCAAUGCACAACUUUGACCGCGUGGGCCCACGGUUGGGUGCGUCGUCGAAGAUCGGUGAGAGGGGCCAGAAGUCAAGAACCACCUGGAAGUGGCCAAAUAUAUGUAGGAAUAUUGGGGAUGUUUAAAACUUUAAAUACACAAUGCAUAACUUUGGUGGCACCUGCCUCGCAAACCCGAAAGCACCCUUGGAUAUAUAUAUAUAUAUAUAUAUAUAUAUAUAUAUAUAUAUAUAUAAUGACAUAAUGUCGUACCUAGCUAGGAUGAUUGGCCAACCACCUCCCACUUCGUGUCAGCGGGGCGGAUGCACGUAAUGAUCGAUACUUUGGUCAUACAUGCAUGUCGCCAUGGCCUACCAUAAGAGGGACCAAUGAAUCUAUCGUUUGGUCAAACGACAGUUGUUGUUGUCGAUAAACUGCUUGGGCCAAUAGAUUGAACCAUCAUAAAAAUCGCACGAGAGGGACCACAAAACCAGCACCUCUUGCAUGCGGCGCAAAAUGAUGUAUGUUGGGAAGGGGUGAUGUGUGUUUUCAAUAUAGAAUAAUGUACAAUUUAGAUGUGGUGCCUACCUCUCGAUACAGACAACAACCAUGAAGGCAAGGUAGUUAAGGACGAGAUACGCAGGGUAUGAUGUAGGUCGAACCCAGCAAUCCGAGCAUGUGGGAGGGAGUCUUGACAACGCAUGAGCUCGAGCUUUGGUUGAGCGACAUGUGACAGUGACCAGCCCUAACACGAACUAGGAGAAAUCCAUUCAUGGCCAACAUGUACCCCUCAUUAUCGGUCAAAGGGAUGAUAUAUAUAUACACUCGGGGAGCCCACAGAUAUGCGUGUCGUCACAAAAAACCGCACAAGGGAGAUGUGGUCGAUCAGAAGACCCCGUAUACACUACAUGCGGCUCAAAAAUAUGUAUGGGUACAAUGGUGUGUGACGUAUUUAAAUCCCAAAUGCACAACUUCGAUGGGCCACCAACUACAUUAUAAACCGAACACCGUACCCGACUCCAAGCCUGGUUCACUACGUACGAUGUCAGUUUCCCAACUUCGAGGCGGCGACAGGGGGGUCGUCCCACGCAUGUGCUCAAAAUUUAUUUGGUCUAGCAUGGGACACAUCUAUAUCUAUACCCCUAUAUAGUGUGCGAAUAACUUUGAAAGUUGGUCAUUGGAUGAAGCCAAUCCGACGGUACAGAGAUGGCAAAUCCGAGCACUACUGGCCAUUGGAUAUCAUCUACACAUUCCACCAGAUUCUGCCACAUGUACAAUCUAGAAGACUCCAUGGUUGAACUUAAGCAUAAUGCACAAACCUCAAAACACAAGCACUUAUCCUUUGUUCUCUAGAAUCUUCCAUAUCUUAAUUGCCCAAACUUUUUUUCUAAAUGGAUUGUCACCUUUUGUUUUUACUUUAUGCUUUAAAAUGCACAAUUCCAUGAAUCUUAAAAUAGAUUUGUUUAUAGAACGAAUUGAUUUUGGAUGACAUGAACUAUAAGAAUUAAACGAACAUCUACAUCAUGCAUAUAUGACUCAAAGCUUACAUGCUAUAGUGUUGGGCCCCCUAAUUGUCGGUAAAGGAUGGUAUAUAUACCUCGGGGAGCCCACAGAUAUGUGCCGCGUCUAUAAGCCGGACAAGGGAGACAUGCUCGAGAAGAACACCCUGCCCCCCUAUACCCUGCAUGCAACCUAAAAAAGGUUUAUAUAAUCGCCAUGACAGGUCAAGUCAAUCAUUCUUUAAUUUUUUAGAGGAAAAAAUAACCCAUAAAAACAUAGUAGGUUUAUAUAAUCGCCAUGACAUGUCAAGUCAAUAUUUCUUUAAUUUUUUAGAGCAAAAAGUAACCCAUAAAAACAUAGUAGGUUUAUAUAAUCACCAUGACAGGUCAAGUCAAUACUUCUUUAAUUUUUUAGAGCAAAAGAUAACCCAUAAAAACAUAGUCUAAAAAUUAGCAAAACAAGGAUCCCAAGGUUUAUAUAAUUGUCAUGAUAGGUCACUAUAGAGAUAUAAUAUAUCUCUAUAAUGACUGUGUCAUGGCAUUUAAAUGAAGCUUAAGAUAUGCAACUUCCCACCGGGUCACCCAUCCUUGGACUACUCCAGCCCGAGCACGCUUAACUUCUGUGUUCUAUUCGACUAGGCUAGCGGAUGGUAAGCCGGCCCUUGCUGAUAAGAAUUGCCUCCUUGCCAUUAAGGCGUUUCACGCUGGUCACCCUAUGGGACCUACUCCCUCAUAUCACACACAUUUGUGCUUUUAGAAACUGUGUGGGAUAUUUACAUGGCCGGUGUGUUGCCGCUAGCCUUCAAUGAGCACUGACACUGGUAGCGGGAAAACGAUGGGAGAAGAGGCAGGAAAACGAUGAGAGGAGUGGCGGGUAGCCUGUUUAGAAAACCUAGUAGAGAAGGAAGCGUGAGCUAGCACAAUGCCUGCGCACAGUGCUUACCCAUGUACUGCAUGUGCUGUCGAAAGAGCUCAGGAUUGUCGUUCGAUCUGGGAGCAUCCAAUGGCGGACACGUAAGAUCCGUGGGGUUUGGGUUCUGGCCAAUCAGAACGCACGACUCAGAUCGCGCGCGCAGCAUGGGGGGAGGGGGGCAUCAGCCACAGUUUGGUAGGCACACAGCUUUCAUGAGUGAACCGUGUGCUAUUUGAAAACAUUUCAUGAGAAGAAUCUUGGUUUUUAAAUCCCCGUAAAUCCAAAACUAACCCGAAAAUCGUGAAACCUGGCAUGGUGUCACAACAUGGCACAUAUAUGUCGAGGAAUUUUUUUCUUCCAUUUUGGCGCAAGUUUUAUUACAAGCCUCUUACAAACCGGAGCUUCUCUCAAAUAAGCCUCGUGGUUCCGAUAGGGAAACGUGUCCCCCUUGUGGGCGAAACGUAAUCACUGCCUCUUUUCGCCUUGUAUUUUCUUCUACGGGCAACAUGGAACGACAGGAUAUCUGUGCUGAAAUUUAAACUUAUCCAGGGUUCGUUUGGCCUUUUUAUACACUAAUUGAGUUUCCUAGGCAUUUAAUGUCCAUGAUUCAAAUCUGAACUUCAAAUACAUGCUCCAGUUCACCAAAAUGGCUAGAAAAUUUAUACAUGUGUCCUUGGGUGCAUGUUUAGGUCCCAUGCCAGGAAUGGGAACGAAUUACAACCAUACCCACGUCCUGGCUCGUCCUCAAACAUUUGGAAUAUCGUUUUUUAAAUCCCCGUAAAUCCUAAACUCACCAGAAAGUCAUCAAAGGUGGCAUGGUGUCACGUCAUGGCACAUAUAUGUCAUGGUAAAAACAUUGUCCAAUUUGGGCCAAGCUUUAUCACAAACCUCUUACAAAUCGGAGCUUCUCUCAAAGAAGCCUCGUGGUUCCGAUAGGGAAACGUGUUCCCCUUGGGGGCGAAACGUAAUCACCGCCUCUUUUUGCCUUGUAUUUUCUUCCACGGGCAACAUGGAAUGACAUGAUAUCCGUGCUGAAAUUUAAACUUAUUCAGGGUUCGUUUGGCCUUUUUAUACACUAAUUGAGUUUCCUAGGCAUUUAAUGUCCAUAAUUCAAAUCUGAACUUCAAAUACAUGCUCCAGUUCACCAAAAUGGCUAGAAAAAUUAUACAUGUGUCCUUGGGUGCAUGUUUAGGUCCCAUGCCAGGAAUGGGAAUGAAUUACAACUGUACCAGUGUCCUGGCUCGUCCUCAAACAUUUUGAAUCUCGGUUUUUAAAUCCCCAUAAAUCCAAAACUCACUAGGAAGUCAUUAAAGGUGGCAUGGUGUCACGUCAUGGCACCAUGUAUAAUUUGGGCGAAGCUAUAUUACAAGCCUCUUACAAACCGGAGCCUGUCGCAACCCUCGUGGUUCCGGUAGGGAAACAUGCCCCUCUUGUGGGCAAAACGAUAAUCGCUGCCUCUUCUUGCCUUGAACUUUGUUUUCUACAGGCAACAUAGAAUAACAGGAGUGUCGGGCUGAAACUUGAAAUUGUUCAGGGUUCGUUUGGCCAUUGUAUAUAUUGCUAAUUACUAAGUUUUCUACGCAUUUAAUGUAGUCCAUAAUUCAAAUUUGAACUACAAGCACAUGCUCCAGCGAAGCAAAAUGGGUGGGAAGUCGUACAUGUGUCAUUGGGUGCAUGUUUAGGUCUCAUUUAAGGAAUGGGAAUGAAUUACAAACUUGUCGUCGUCCUGAAACAUUGAGAAUCUCGGUUUUUAAAUCCCAGUAAAUCAAAAACUCACCCAAAAAACAUGAAACUUGGCAUGGUUUUAUGACAUGGCACAUAUAUGUCAUGGUAAAAAAAUCGUCCAGUUUGAGAAGAGGCGCACACAUUAGUAACCAACGAAGUCCUUUUUGAAACAAAAAGCUGACACGUUAAUAUCGGAAAUGGUUGUAUUAUAUUAACCGUGUCGAAAUUUAACCAUACUCGAUGGCGUGCGAGCAACUGUUUGACUAGACGGGACAAGCGCGAGAAUUCCGCCGUGCAGGCUUGACGGGACGCGUGCAAGCAGUCCGCCGCGCAGGCUCGACGGGACGGGUGCAUCCUAUCCACCUCGCAGGCUCGACGGGACACGUGCGAGCAGCAAGGCCGCCCAUGCUCACCAGGAAGCGAGCUCUUUGACCUCCAUGCACCAGCCGCCGCCCGCCUCGCUCAGAACUCCUCCAUUAAUGGGUUAAUUAAAGCACCUGGACGGAGGGUGUUUGCUUGUGAUCCCAUGGCAGCAUUUGCUUUGUUCGUGUUUUCAACUCGUAUUCUGCCCUAAUUUAAAUUGCCACAUAGGGCAAUGGAUAAUACGAUAACAAAUAAAAUGGCAACGGAUAAUACCACGACAAAUUUACAAUGGCGCAGAUAAUAUUUGUCUUACAUAUUUCGGAUAAUUUAAAACGCCACAUGUGGCAAAGCCCGGAAUACACGGGGGCAAGAGAAGAAGGAAAUUGCAGACAACGAUCUGGGUCGCUACUGUCUCUACUCGUCGAUGGAUCGUCGGGCGACGACAUCCUCCAGCUCCUUCUUCAAUUCCUCACGACUUUGCUCGAAAGCAGCCACGGAUUCCUCCACCUUUUGCUCACGCUCGAUCCGGAGCUUCCUCAAGCCACCCAUCAGUUCCUCGACGACCGCUUUCAGCGUCAUUCCUGAGGCACCGCUAUGCUCAUGCAGCAUCUUCCAGCCGGCGGCCUCCUCCUCCUUCUUGGCGAGCAACUUGAGGAGCUUCGCAUUGUCACCCAUGAGUUUCUCGAUGAGGCCGGUCGCCUUGUCAACCGAGGCAUCGCUGAUCUUGAGCAGCUUCAUCAAGCCGUCGACCAGCUUCAUCAAGCCGUCGACCAGCUCCUGCUGUGUAGUGACGCCAGCGAGAAUGUCGUCAUCACCGGCGAAGGACUUCAGGAACGCCCGCUCGUCGCGAUGGUCGACGCCGCGAAUGCGCUUGUGAGAGCCCUCGCGUGACCGUGAGAGCUCGUUCGAGGGCUUCGCGGCGUGCUGGGACCUCUCUGCUGCGGCUGCGGCUUCGCGGCGGGACCUCUCUAGUACUUCCGCGGCCUUGGUCUUUGCUGCCUGGUAGUCCACCCUAAACUCCUCCUACCGGUCAUGGUGGAACGGCUUGACAGGAAAGACCAGUUUUGUGGGUGAUGAGGAGAGGAACUGUGAAGUAAUUUUCAAGUGGGUAGUUUUUAUAGCCCGGUGCUAAGUGUGAACACAUAUUAGUUUUAUAGGUGUGAAAAGAUUUGCAAUUACUUAUUGCGUUGUAAUCUGCAAUGUGACGAGAAACAAGGUCAAAAUAUAUUGAUGGCAGAAGGUUGACCACAUGGUUCCUCGCCGUUCAGUCGGCUGUUUGCCACGUAUCACACACAUCUUGUUAAGUUGAACUGUUUCUGUUGUGUUCGCUAAUCUAAAAUAGUUCGUCCGAGUGAAUCGUAUGCCCUAUAUCACACACACCUUGAUUUGGCUAACCGUUUCUGUUGCACUCCCUAAUAGCAAACAGUUCAUCGGAGCGAACUGUAUGCCGUAUACCGCACACACAUUGAUACGGCUGCCCGUUUUUGUUGUUCUGCCUCAUCGCAAACAGUUCGAACGGGUUAACCGUGUGCCCUAAAUCACACACGCAACUAAAAUCUGAACCGUGUUUCAUGGCUCUACCAUCGCAAACAUUUUGCACCUUUUUUGACGGUUUUUUACAUCCCCAUUUAUGAUUAAUGCAUCGCACACAGUUUCGUCAAAGGGUAUCUGAUCGUAGUGUCGUGUUCGCAGCAUCCUGCAGUAGUGAGGCCAGCUUCAGCGCCAGCGAAAUUCAUUCGGGCUACUUAAGCCGCCUGCAUACUAGUCGAGACAUGGAAGCCGGCUUAGUCAAUCUGAUGAAAGAGCUUUGAGGUAAACACUGGGACCCUUCUCAUAUCAACAUAUGUGUCAGCCGCCAAGUCUAUAGGAUACGAAAGAAUUUGAGAAUGUUGUAGACUUAAAUGACAGCCUUCUUGCGACCCUUCAAAUUUAUCUUCUCUGCAUUAGAUCCAUUUAAGUAGCCUCCAAGGGCCGGCUUAAACUGAAUAGUUAAGCUGGGACUUAAUAUCAUGUUUGUAAAAAAUCUGAAUAUGUAGCACCCAUGAGCCGGCUUAAUUUGAAAAAUCUAGCCGGGUUAGUAAGGAUUCGUUUUGAAAAAGAAUGACCUAUGUUAGCCCCCAAGUGCCAAGAAGAAUACUUUGUAAUGUACUUGGGACUUCAAUAGAAUGAUUAUCAUGACUCCUGAGUACUGCUUGAUUUAUCCUUGCAGGCUGAGCUAAGCAUGAAAGAGUCUCAGGUGGUCGAUCUGCAGAAGAACAUCACCUUAUAACAAUCAGAAACAUCGAAGGCCAAAUCAGAACUAAAAGCCGCCUUAGAAAUAUCUGAAAAACUGCAGACAGACUUCGACACGCAGAGAGCCAGGUGGGAGACCGAAAAAGCAGCUCUUCUGAAAAGAGCUAAAGAUGUUGAAGCUGCCCUGAAACCGGUGACUGGAGAUUUAUCCCGUUUAAAGCGACAUGUAAAUCAAAUGACAACCGCCAUCUUUGGCAAGUGUUAUUGCAUUGCAAUUUUACACCAGUAACUUUCUUUAACCCGCCUGGCGACUUAUCAUAUGUUAUGCAUGCAGGCCCCAGAAGCUCUAACCUUGGCCAAGACAAGUUGGUGAACCUGAAGGCGGUUUAUACUCUAGUGGAACCGGUGUACACAGGCACGUAGCAACCCUUACCAGCUAUCUCGCAUAAUAAGCAACCACCUUCACUCAUUAAGGAUGUAUUGGACAAGUUAUUUGUCAUGCCCAAGAGGAUUGAAGAGAUCAAGCGAUCCGUAGCUCGAGCCGGCGCCAUCACUGCAUUGAGCCGGGCCAAAGCAUGGCAGGCGGAGCUAGACCCGGAGGAGCUGGCAACUGGCUGUCUGAGCUUGAAAGAGGACGGGUCUCUCUUUGAUGCCAGUGACUUUACCAAAUGUGUAAAGGAAAUGUGCCCUUUGGCAACCAAGCUGGCCGAAGAAGCUGAUUUUUCUAAGUAUCAGCCGGCUUACACCAAGGAGAACGCCAAAGUGAAGGCGUCGGCUUAUGAGAUUGUAGAGCUCAUUCCUCUGAUACGUAAGCACACCUUCGCUCCUGAUGUUGAUCCGUCCAAUCUUAUAGACGAUGAAGACAAAUUCAGAGCUUUAACUGGCAUCGACUGGACAUCAUCUGACUUCUAGACAAUGGAGGGAGUAGAAGAAGAACCAGCACAGCAUGAUAACCCGGAGGCUUCAAUUCGCCAAGAUCAGAACAACUAAUCCAAGGGGCGGUUCUCCAACUGCAGCAUGGUGUUUCCUUUGGAAAAAACUCUUUAAUAAUUUGGGUUGUGGAAAGCCUUGUAAUAGGCUAGUUUAAAACCAUGAUCUGCCAUGCCCUCGUGCAUGUUUAGCCUUGAAACUUCUAAAAUAUGUUUAUAUGCCGCUUGAUGAGCUUUGCAGGAAAUAACGUAUUUGUUUUACAAUUUGCCUGCACACAUAGUAAACAACAUAUACCUUGGCGGUUUACGCUAGGGCGGGUCAUAAUAUCCAAUAUAAUAUGUUCUAGCAACUGUCCCUUUAUAGAACCGUACAUGAGAUUUUCACCUCAUACGGCUCCUCGGUCAAUUCUUUCGAAGGGAUCCUUUUCCUCGUUCGAGAGUCUCCGCCCUUCUUCCACUCCGUCCCGAAGACUAACUAAGACCAAUUGAGUCACGUUUUCAUGUUCUAAUUGAACACUUUCCAUUUAUGAUAUGAUUAAAGGAGAAGAUUGUUCUUUUACCAAACAUAUGCAGAUCAAAUCACGUCUUAUAAUAAGAAGAAAUCUUUCUCGGUAUCAAUCCCCUUGCCCCUCAUUCUUUGAGAAUCAGAAGGAUCCUUUUCGAGUUUCCAUUUCUUCAUUUGGAAUCUGGGCUCUUCUAUCUUCGACUAAUUUUUUUGGCUUUAUUCUUUAUUUAUUUCAUUUCGAUUUUUCCCUCUUCCCCUAUCCCUAUCCUCUAGGUACAGCGUUUGCAUCAAUAAAGAACCUUUUCCUCUGUAUGAAUCUAUAUUAUUCCAUUCCAAUUUCUUCCCGAAACUUCCCAAGAAAAAUCCCGAAUUGGAUCCAAAAUUGACGGGUUAAUGUGAGCUUAUCCAUGCGGUUAGGCACUCUUCAAAUAGGAAUCCAUUUUCUAACUGGCUUUCGUGCUUUGGUGAGUCGUCCGAGAUCUUUUCGAUGACCUAUGUUGUGUUGAAGGGAUAUCUAUAUGAUCCGAUAGAUUGCAUAAGACCCGCGGUAGCAAUAGAACAGGGAAAGUAUACAGAAAAGGCAGUUCUUUUCAAUUUCGAUUAUCUAUAUAUUAUUUCAUUUCUAUUUCUAGAUAUCUAUUUCUAUAUAUUAGUAUUAGUUAGUAGUACUAUUAGUUACCGAUCCCGGCUCUGUGAGUUCUUUCUUCCAUGAUGAACUGUCGGCACCAGUCCUACAUUUUUUUCUCUGUGGACCGAGGAGAAAGGGGGCUCAGCAGGAAGAGGAUUGUACCAUGAGAGAAGCACAGAGGUCAACCCGCUUCAAAUAUGGAACAUGGAUUCUGGCAAUGCAACGGAGUUGGGUCCUCAUAUCGAUCCGAAUGAAUCAGUCUUUCUACAAAGGUCAAUCUUUGCCUAUUAGGCAAGAGGAUAGCAAGUUCUAAAUUCUGUCUCGGUAGGACAUGGAUUUCUAUUACUAUGAAAUUCAUAAAUGAAAAUGAAGUAGUUAAUGGGAGGGCUACCGUUAUCUUUUUUCUUGUAUGUGUUCCUAAGAGAAGUAAUUUGUCCUCAUGUUUCGAGGUCUCAAGAAAAGGGCGUGGAAACAGAUAGAAACUCUUGAAUGGAAAUUGAAAAGAAAUGUAGCCCCAGUUCCUUCGGAAAUGGUAAGAUCUUUGGCGCAAGAAGAAGGGGCGACCCAUAUCAUCUUGACUUGGUUCUGCUUCCCCUCUUUUUUUAAGAAUACCGAGUCGGGUUCUUCUCCUACCAGUAUAGAAUAGAACAUGCUGAACAAGAUCUUCUUCAUGGAAACCUGCUCGAUUUAGAUCGGGAAAAUCCUACAGAUUUUAUGAAACCAUGUGCGA